AUUUGACUUGAGGAACUUAAAGGUGGUCUCCAACCUAAGGAUUCCCUAGCUCUGUAUGUGUGUGUAUGUACAUAUACAUAUGAAUGAGACUUAUUUCCUCAUACACUAAGUUUUGUGCUUCCCUUUUGGAAUAUUUCUUUCUAUUUUGCAGUGUCACAGUGUAUAGAUAGGACAACUGAGAUCAGGAGCUGUCUGCUUUGGUACUUUGCAGGAAUCCACAGCAUAUCUUGAGUUCACUCCAGACACCAAUACAAUACAGAUGGCAAAGGAUAGAACACUUUCCUGGAUAGAGCAUUAGGCUGCUUGAAGAUCUUCACAAGCUGGUGGUUUCUGAGCAGUCAACCCAGGGGUGAACUCAAACUGACUGACUGAAACCUGCCUUCAUCUGCAUCAUCUGCUUGCUUUUUGGGUGAAGACUUCAUCUUGAAAAGCCACUUCCUAUGGUGAAAAACAGGAGAGAGUUAUGCUUUCAAACUGUAGAGAAGGCAAAUAUUUUGGAUUCUGGCUUCUGUAUUUCUGCAGAGAUUUGUGUGAUCUCACUGAAUGCUGAGUGCUUGUGAAGACACUGAAGAUAUCCUUUGCCGAUACUUGUAAGUACUUCCUGGAGUUUAAUGGUCAAAUUUUGUAAGAGAUAUCUCAUCAGUACUUGUCCCAUCUCUUCCCUAAGUGAUUGCAUCGGAUGAGCAGAAAAGGAUGGAUAAUUGCCUAUUGGAUUCCGGUGCUCUGAUUUCACCCCUCCUUACCCAAGUGGGGAAGUCGAGUCUUGCUGUUCCUGUGUGCCCACAACUGAGGAGCACUGCCUCCAUAAGUGACCCUACUGAAGCUCCAGUAGGAAAGAAUACACCUCACCCAUAA
rnacentral:lncRNA from 13 species